rnacentral:tRNA from 1 species
GGCGUAGCCAAGCGGUAAGGCAACAGACUUUGACUCUGUCACUGCGUGGGUUCAAAUCCCGCCGCC